rnacentral:tRNA from 1 species
GCCUGGGUGGCUCAGUUGGUUAAGCAUCUGACUUCGGCUCAGGUCAUGAUCUCGUGGUUCGUGAGUUCAAGCCCCACGUCGGGCU